rnacentral:lncRNA from 10 species
GGGGCCUCUUCCUUACCUUGAAUUGGCCUCAGUUCUUGGCAGCUGAGAUGUAAACCACAGGAGCAGGGCCAUACCUACCCAAGGGCAGAGUUGUACCAGGAAGCUGGGACUUCGUUCUUUUGCUGGCCCAGGGCAGGCCCCAGGCAAGCCAGGGUUGGGGUCUCUGUGGGAGGUCUGGGUCACUGCUGGGUCCCAUUCUGGGCUCUGGGCCCAGGUAUGGGCUGGUGGGCGUUAAAGGGCUUAUGCAGGGCUGCCCCAAAAAUGGGUGAAUGUGUUAGUGCAUGCACACACACAACACACACUGACAGGUACAGCCUCCCCAGCCUUGCUCCAAGCGGGAUGCCUGGCCCCAAACCCCCAGUUUCAGUGAGGUGGAGAAAUGUGUCGGGAGGAACUGCCCCUAGGGAUCCCCGGCCUGAGCCUUCAUAGGGCACAAGACUGGAAUGUCAGCAAGACCGGCACAAGUGGCGUCAACUCCAGGAGACCACCUGGCAGGGGCUGGCACCAUGGGCUAAGAAUCAGGCAACUUAGGUUCUAGUCCUGGCUCUACCAUGUAGUUGCUGUGUGGCCUUGGACAAGUUACUGAACCUCUCUGAGCCUAUUUCCUGAUCUAUAACAUGCAGCUCAUACUACCUUUUAGGGCUGUUUUUAAUUCAAUGGCACAUAGUAGGUGUUCAAUAAACAUUAAUUUCACACAGAUACCUCAACGCCCUGGGGAGUAGAGUAGAAAGAAAACUAAAUCUAGAAGCAAAAACAAUUUCAAAUCCCACCUUUGCCAUGCAUUAGAGCAGUUACAUAUAGAAAAAAACACUUCACCUCUCUGAGCCUUAGUUUACUUUUGUAAAAUGGAAGCAAUGCUUAUUUCAUGAGGUUAUUUUAAGGAACGGGUUAAAUAAAUGAAGACUUCUGUAAACAGGAAUUACCAUUACAGGCAAAGUAUGUGAGUACCCUCCCCUCCCUUUCCUGGGACAGAGUGAACUUUGGUUCAAAUAAAACCUAAACAGGGCCAAGGCAGGACCCAUCUCUCCAUGGGCUCAAAUAACAAACCGAACGACCUAUUCUCUCCAUGGGCUGAAAUAAUAAACCAAACGUCCUUCCUCCCUUGGACCAUAAAUUUUUAUUGGCAGGUCAGGAGAAGAGCCGGGGGUAAGGGUCCCUUCCUUCCCAUCCCUCUACCCAGAAGACACCCUCCAAAGGACAGCAGAAGCCCCAGAGCCUGCUGCCUCAGAGGACCUUGGAGCCGCUGGUACUCCUGAUUCUG